UAAUACGGGAUAAUAUAUUUGAGAGGCAUCUCUUAAAUAUCAAAGGUGAGCCAGUACAGGAUGGACCCGCGUCUGAUUAGCUAGUUGGUAAGGUAACGGCUUACCAAGGCGACGAUCAGUAGCCGACCUGAGAGGGUGAUCGGCCACAUUGGAACUGAGACACGGUCCAAACUCCUACGGGAGGCAGCAGUGGGGAAUAUUGCACAAUGGGCGAAAGCCUGAUGCAGCAACGCCGCGUGAGUGAUGAAGGCCUUCGGGUCGUAAAACUCUGUCCUCAAGGAAGAUAAUGACGGUACUUGAGGAGGAAGCCCCGGCUAACUACGUGCCAGCAGCCGCGGUAAUACGUAGGGGGCUAGCGUUAUCCGGAUUUACUGGGCGUAAAGGGUGCGUAGGCGGUCUUUCAAGUCAGGAGUGAAAGGCUACGGCUCAACCGUAGUAAGCUCUUGAAACUGGGAGACUUGAGUGCAGGAGAGGAGAGUGGAAUUCCUAGUGUAGCGGUGAAAUGCGUAGAUAUUAGGAGGAACACCAGUUGCGAAGGCGGCUCUCUGGACUGUAACUGACGCUGAGGCACGAAAGCGUGGGGAGCAAACAGGAUUAGAUACCCUGGUAGUCCACGCUGUAAACGAUGAGUACUAGGUGUCGGGGGUUACCCCCUUCGGUGCCGCAGCUA
rnacentral:rRNA from 1 species